AGAAGAUUCGUGCGUGGUGAAGAAGAAGAAAAUAUUGGGCUCACAACCUUAAAGUGCGCAUCAUGAAGGUCGCUUAUCGAUACGCCUUCAGUUCCAGAUUCUUCAAGUCGACUAUUUUCACUUUAUUAUUUGCAGCAAUAUUGUGCUACUUUAUGUGCGAGAGGUAUAUGGUGCCAGCUCGUGAGGGGACGCUUCCGAUGUCCCGCGGUUUACGAGUCUCGUCGACAUCUGUCCCUGAUGGAGUCAGCACAGCAAAGACCGUGGCGAGCAACGCACCAAACGCAGAGACGAACAGACAGGCGGCUGACACCGUGGGAGAUAAGGCAGAAGUAGUCCCUCUGGUGGCAUACCGCACUACUUUGGCUGCUGGAAACCAACCACCAUCGAAAAAGUCUCCCUAGCCGGAGCGCCUCGAAGGAUAGCGAUAUUUCAGGACUGGUAUGCGGAAAAGUUCUGCAGCGUUACCUGAAGCGCACUGAUCACCAGUGAAGCAGUUGAAGCGGUUUUCAUGGCUACUCUUGUUGGAGUUACUGUACUUUGUUGUAUUAAAUGUUUUAUUAUCUUGUUA